GAGCAUCUGUUAUUACCGAUUAUCAGGAAAAUUUAGAGAAGACGUGGCUCGUGCAGCUACGAAAGAAAUACCCUGUUAAAGUAAAUGAGAAAGCAAAGAAACAUGUGGUGGAAGAACUUAAGCCUUAAAAUUGUUUUCAUUGGCCUGCUUGCACUUUGCGGAUGUGAGUUUAUAAAAAUGAAAAGCGGUGUGG
rnacentral:misc_RNA from 1 species